AGGCCCGUAGCUCAGCGGUUAGAGCCGUCGGCUCAUAACCGAUUGGUCGCCAGUUCGAAUCUGGCCGGGCCUACCA
rnacentral:tRNA from 1 species